rnacentral:rRNA from 1 species
CUCCUAUGGGAGGCAGCAGUGGGGAAUAUUGCGCAAUGGGCGAAAGCCUGACGCAGCGACGCCGCGUGAGGGAUGACGGCCUUCGGGUUGUAAACCUCUUUCAGCAGGGACGAAGCGAAAGUGACGGUACCUGCAGAAGAAGCACCGGCCAACUACGUGCCAGCAGCCGCGGUAA